GUUUCACCAGUCAAAAUGGGGUUCGAGGUUGUAGUUAUCAAGUGUUAGGGGUCCUGUCCACCCUUUAGUACGUUAUAACUCGCUCGCUAGCAUUCCUCGAAACGUAAAUAAACCCCAAUCUCCUCCACAGAGUUGAUAUGAAAAGUGGGACGCCUAUUUCUACAUCUGUAAGUUUAGCCUCCCUAUAAUUAGUGAGUGAAGUUCUGGGCUAUUUCUUAUUUAACAUUUGAUGGGCAACAGAUUGCGUCUUCUGCAGCCAUGGCUCCUAUAGCGAAAGAAGCAGAACCCCGAGAAAAGGAACAAAGUAAUACCAUCAUCUUCGAUGAAUCCAAAGGGGAAAUCUUUAAACUUAGUGAUGGAUUCAAGGUGUUACACAAGAAACUCAAGACCCAGUGGAAGAUUGUCAGUAACCGGGAUGACCUGAACAAAGAGACCCUGGGUCAGGCACGAGCUGUCGUGAUUGCCUGUCCACAUCAGAAAU